rnacentral:rRNA from 1 species
AGGACGAACGCUGGCGGCGUGCUUAACACAUGCAAGUCGAACGGAAAGGCCCGCUUGCGGGUACUCGAGUGGCGAACGGGUGAGUAACACGUGGGCAACCUGCCCUCAGCUCUGGGAUAACUCCGGGAAACCGGUGCUAAUACUGGAUAUCGACUUCUGCCUCGCAUGGGGUGUUGUUGAAAGUUUUUCGGCUGGGGAUGGGCCCGCGGCCUAUCAGCUUGUUGGUGGGGUGAUGGCCUACCAAGGCGACGACGGGUAGCCGGCCUGAGAGGGCGACCGGCCACACUGGGGACUGAGACACGGCCCAGGACUCCUACGGGAGGCAGCAGUGGGGAAUAUUGCGCAAUGGGCGGAAGCCUGACGCAGCGACGCCGCGUGAGGGAUGACGGCCUUCGGGUUGUAAACCUCUUUCAGCUCUGACGAAGCGAGAGUGACGGUAGGAGCAGAAGAGCACGGCCAACUACGUGCCAGCAGCCGCGGU